AUGCUAGAAGCUUGGUGCCACUUCAUCCAAUCGACUUUGAUUCGAUGGUUCACAUCUUCAUCGAUAUCCCUGUCCUUCUGCAACAUUGACCCAAAAAAUCGAAAGGUGUCCUUCUCAGGCACCACCUGCCCAUUAAGGCUAAUCUCCUUGUACCCAGUAGUACUGAAAUCACACACUCAUGUACUCGGUUUAGUUCUUCAAAGUCUAAAACCUUUUGAUUCCAAGGCUUGUCUCCAUAACUUCCUAUUGACCCCCAUUCGACUAUCAUCGACUAGCACCACAUCAUCCACAAAGAGCAUACACCAUGGGAUAUCUCCUUGUAUAUCCCUUGUGACCUCGUCCAUCACCAGAACAAUAAAAAAAGAGCUCAAAGUUGACCCCUGGUGCAGUCCUAUUUUAAUUGGGAAGUCAUAA
rnacentral:rRNA from 1 species